rnacentral:rRNA from 1 species
AUUACUCCUACGGGAGGCAGCAGUGGGGAAUAUUGGACAAUGGGCGAAAGCCUGAUCCAGCAAUGCCGCGUGAGUGAUGAAGGCCCUAGGGUUGUAAAGCUCUUUUACCCGGGAUGAUAAUGACAGUACCGGGAGAAUAAGCCCCGGCUAACUCCAUGCCAGCAGCCGCGGUAAUAAUC